GCAUUAAAUGAGAGUUACCACAAAUACUAGCUUCAAGACAUUUCAUCCGUUUCAUCCGUUCAGUAAACCAAGUGGAUCAGUGUACCUCCUUCAGUAGGGCAACAGAACUUUCUUUAUGAGCGCGUUGAGUUCUGAACAUUGCUGUAUUAUGUAACCGCGAACAGCAGAUGAUUUGACAAAAGGUAAAAUACAUGUUUUAUGGCUGCUAGUUAUCAGACCACCAUAUGGGAAGAGGAGAGUGUUUUAUUGGUUCAAAAGUGGCGUGAGACAGGGGGUCAGGGCGAAGUGGAUGCCGGCCCCAGAUCAACACCCUGUCUGAGGUGGCCUGGCUUGAACCUGUAGCACAUCAAAAGUUACGGUAAGUGUUUUUAUGUUUUUUUUUUUGUUAUUAAACAAUAAUGAUGUUCUCUGAAGGCCAGUUGUAGACAAUUGCUCCUGUCUCUUCUGUGCAUCUUGAUUGAGUCUUUUGGCUGACAAUCUAAAGAUGUAAACAGAUGCAAAAACACAGGACUGAAACAGAGAAAAUGCACAGUAAUGAUAAACAGUAUCAUGCCUCCAGAGUUGCAUUAUCCGUGUACAUCCAGAAGCCUUGUUUAUCGACAACUAGAACUACCUAUUACUACCACUUUCUGCUGCUACAUACUACUACUACUACUUUACUACUUUACUGCUGCUACAUACUGCUACUACUUUACUACUUUAUUGUUACUGCUACUACUUUACUGUUACUACUUUACUACUACUGCCUAGCUGCAGAGACGACUGAGUUAGUCUGGCCACACUUAAAGGAGGAGUUGACCGGUCGGUUGUUGAGGUUGGGACAAGAUGUUCUCACUGAUAAGAUUCCCUCAUACUGCUGACAGAACAUGAAAUACUUUCGUUUUGCUGUCCUUCCUUGUUUGUUUUGGGUUCUGAACCAUAAAGUGCUGAGUUUGUUUUGUGCUGGUAGUGAUGGCCUUUAAUCUUUUUUGAUCUGUGAAAUGCUUGAUCAUGUUUUACCUGUUCGGGUCCUGGUGUUAUUACCUGUUCAGGUGUCUGUGUUGAUUCUGCAGAAACAGCAGAGUCUUAAGUGAUGAAAUACACAUAGACAUAGACAAUAAAAGUGUGUGUUUUCCU